rnacentral:pre_miRNA from 1 species
GGGGGAGCGCAGGAUCCUGGGCUGUGUCCCCUGGCACCCUGAGAUCCAGGGCCUGCGCUGCUGGAAUCGGGCUCUCGGGUGCCGUGCAGCCCCCU